UUGCUUCAGCAGCACAUAUACUAAAAUUGGAAAAAUACAAAGAAAAUUAGCAUGGCCACUAGGGUACAAGGAUGACAUGCAAAAAUUUAGUGCAUGUUCAUUUAAUU
ensembl:snRNA U6 U6 spliceosomal RNA